GCGUGAAUAGUUCAGCUGGUAGAACUACAGACUUUUAAUCUGAGGGUCCAGGUUUCAAGCCCAUGUUCAGACA
rnacentral:tRNA from 1 species